rnacentral:lncRNA from 1 species
GGGUUUAUGACAGUCAAAUUGACGGUCCGUCAGAGCAACUGAUGGUCCACCAGAUUAUCCUUUGCUCGAGUGCUAAAACUCAGGCAUUCUACCUCGAAGUGACGGUCGAAGUGAUGAUUCAUCAGGAAACUAUCGGUCAACCAGAUCGUUCGUCACUCGGGGGUUAGAAAUGGGACAUUCUGCUUUGACUUGAUUGUCCUAUUGAUGGUCC